rnacentral:rRNA from 1 species
CCUACGUGUGGCAGCAGUGAGGAAUAUUGGUCCAUGGGCGCGAGCCUGACCCAGCCAAGUAGCGUGACGGAUGACUGCCCUACGGGUUGUAAACUUCUUUUAUAAAGGCAUAAAGUGAGGCACGUAUGCCUUUUUGUAUGUAUUUUAUGAAUAAGGAUCGGCUAACUCCGUGCCAGCAGCCGCGGUACUACGGAGGAUCCGAGCGUUAUCCGGAUUUAUUGGGUUUAAAGGGAGCGUAGAUGGGUUGUUAAGUCAGUUGUGAAAGUUUGCGGCUCAACCGUAAAAUUGCAAUUGAUACUGGCAGCCUUGAGUACAGUUGAGGGAGGCGGAAUUCGUGGUGUAGCGGUGAAAUGCUUAGAUAUCACGAAGAACUCCGAUUGCGAAGGCAGCCUACUAAACUGCCACUGACAUUGAUGCUCGAAAGUGUGGGUAUCAAACAGGAUUAGAUACCCGAGUAGUC